UAUCGGUGGGAACUACCGGUCUCCAUGGCGGCAUCUCCACGGAGACUCUGACGUCAUAGCCUGGAAUAUUCACAGAUCCAGUUCCAGAAGCUCAGUUCCUUUGAAGAAGCGAAGUGUCUUUCUGGAAGAGAAUCAUCGCAAGCCUUCCACGGUGUUGCAGAACCAUCGCGAGCCUUCCAUUGUGUUGCCUUCCUGCGGAGCAGCGCGUGCAUUCUUCAGCCAUGGAAGGAUAGGAGCUGGAUCAUCCGAAGCAGUGCAGGCUGCAGGAGUUAUUUCCACAAUGCACACACACACACAGCUCCUCCUACUAGCUACUGUACUAGUGUUCCAUUCUCUCACUGCUUUUGUCUCCUCUCUCCCCCAGGUACAGAGACAUGCCAUGCUGAACCCUGGGAGAAUCACUAACCUGAUAAUGUCUGCAUAAUUAUUAUUGCAGGUUUAAAGGGGGCGGGGCUUGACUGUACGCCCCCAUAUCUCUCUUCAGGGGGAGGGGCUCAGGUCUCAACGUCCACUAAUUACUAUCCCACUAUACUGGAGAGGUGGAUUGUCUCUGCAUGUAUGCAGCCAUGGAUACAUUAAAAAUGAGUAUGGCUACAUGUGAAGUGUCUCAUACAUUCUAUGAUGUGUUACUGUAGGUUGAUGUCUGCACAGCAAAAGAUAGCCACUGUAACAGCAUACACACAGAUAAGUAGCUAGCUAUGUUGUGUGGCAAGUUUUUAUGAUCCCUCCAGGUUGAUUGGUUGAAAUUUCAUCUAGCUGCAUGAAUAGCUGCAUCACCUGUGUGCACUGCUCACUGCUCACUGUGAGGAGGAUCGUGUGGUUGUGGUCCCGGCUAUGCCACUCCACUAGAGGCAAUGGAGGGACCUCGUGAGAAGCUCCUCUACAUACCUUACAUCUAUCGAAGUACAGAGCAGAAUAAACCAGAUUAUCUUGCAACGGUUGAUUGCGACCCGGACUCCCACUUACAGACAGACUGAUAUCCCUGAGGUUGUGAAAAAGAAAGUCGAGAAGUUUAAAUAUCGCUACACUACACGAGACAAACGUAAAUCCUCCACCAUCAAUCUCGGCUCAUCCAAUUCCUGGCACGAUUAUCUCCUGGGACAAUUCAGAAAUGAACGACCACUUAACAGCGAGACAAAAAAACGCACUCUCGUUUCUUCCAACGUAUAAUUUUCGGCAAUAUUCGACCACUCUUAAAAAUGGAUCGUCAAUGUUUAGCUCUCAACCGCUACACGGUUCUCUUAACCGGGAAGGACAAUCGUCGAUCAGUCGUAGUCAUAGCGACCAGGAUCCAAACAACGACCAAACGAUGAAUGGAACUGUACAGAAUAUUCUCUCUAAUAGUGAAGCUGAUAUUUUGAGCAGUGGCGAAAGUACAAUUAUCAAACAAGUGUAACGUACAGUCAACCAUUGGCUGAUACUAAUAAAUUAUAUUGUCUAGUGGUGCAACAGAUUCUAUUGUACCUGUUAUUUCCAACUCUGCUGGUAGGAACUUUACGGAAAUUGAACGAGUUUUGGCAGCUGAAUUGCUUCGAUUCACUCAGAGAACGGAUUAUAGAACAAAAGCAGACGAGAGGUGAUUGGAAUUGGAAAAAUUCGUCUUUGAAAUGGCCAGAUUUGAUCUCCCUGUUCAAAUAGCAAGUGAAAAAGACGUUUUAAUGGAAGCUGAUGCUCGCAUGAUUGUGUACGAGCCAAAUCACGUGUGCUACGAUAAAUUCCAGCGUCAUUAUCGUCAGAGAAAUACUGGAUCGAUUAUCACUCCUCUGAGUAACGAUGACCUCAUCUCACGUCAUUUUGCACUGUCUCAAGUUCCCGUACAUGUACUUCCUGUGAAAGAUUUUACACAUAACAUCAUCAAUGCGGCUAUCGUGGGUGACUACCAUUACCGGCUACAAGUCUACGCUACCUAUGACAUACUUAUCUACGAUACUUAUUGUCCGAAACAGAAAUAUCGAGCACCCGCAAAACCACAGAAACGGCCAACAGCUACUAGUCAAAAUUCUACUGGUGGUAGUCGAAAACGAAAAAAUGUCGAGAAAGCAAAAAGUCCACAACCCAAGAGAGCGAAACGAGCAUACGUACGAAAGAAAGGUGUGGCCUCUAAAACAGUGGAAGAAGUUGCCCAAGGUUCAAUGGCCGCUGCUAUAUCAAUGCGGCUAUUGUGAGUGACUACCAGUUCCGGCUACAAGUGUACGCUUCGUACGAUGUACUUAUCCACGAUACUUAUUGUCCGAAAAAGAAAUAUAAAAAACCACGGAACCAGCCAACAGCUACUGGGAAAAAAGCUGCUGGUAAAAAAUCUGCUAGUGGUAUUGGUCGAGAAAGUAAAAAGCCCACAGCCCAAACGAGCGAAACGAACGUAUGUAAGAAAGAAAGGUGCGACCUCUAAAACAGUCGAAAAAGUUGCUCAAGGCAAUAAAAAAAGAGCGUCAGCUAAGAGUCAACAAGGAACUCGCAAACAGAUCAAGAUGACGACCUUUGUACCUCAGAUCGCGAGAAUGCAAAGUCCCAUCUCUUGAGUGACUGUUCCGUAUGCCUCACACAUAUCACACACCCUCACAAAGCCACGCCCCCUCACUCUUUUUUCGUGUGGACACCUACAUACCUCAUGUAUAAGAACAGUAUUCCGAUAGUUGUGCUCACCUUUGCCCUCUGUGCAGAUCACCUACAGCAAAAUAUCAUUCACAUGAUUAAAUUUGACUGUGUAUUGUCCUACGAGCUUGUGUACUAUAAUUAUCUUGCAUUGUCAA